UCGAAGAUGGGGGGACCAUCCUCCAAGGCUAAAUACUCGUGAUCGACCGAUAGUGAACCAGUACCGUGAGGGAAAGGCGAAAAGAACCCCGGGAGGGGAGUGAAAUAGAACCUGAAACCGCAUGCAUACAAACAGUAGGAGCCUCGUCAGAGGUGACUGCGUACCUUUUGCAUAAUGGGUCAGCGACUUACAUUCUGUGGCGAGCUUAACCGAAUAGGGGAGGCGCAGCGAAAGCGAGUUCGAAAUGAGCGUCCAGUCGCAGGGUGUAGACCCGAAACCAGAUGAGCUAUCCAUGGCCAGGUUGAAGGUGUGGUAACACACACUGGAGGACCGAACCGACUAGUGUUGCAAAAUUAGCGGAUGAGCUGUGGAUAGGGGUGAAAGGCUAAACAAAUCUGGAGAUAGCUGGUUCUCCCCGAAAACUAUUGAGGUAGUGCCUCGUGUAUGACUCCAGGGGGUAGAGCACUGUUUUGGCUAGGGGGACAUGGAGUCUUACCAAACCAAGGCAAACUCCGAAUACCUGGAAGCGUGAGCACGGGAGACAGAGCACCGGGUGCUAACGUCCGGACUCAAAAGGGAAACAACCCAGACCGCCGGCUAAGGUCCCUAAUAUUGACUAAGUGGAAAACGAAGUGGAAAGGCUAAGACAGUCAGGAAGUUGGCUUAGAAGCAGCCAUCCUUCAAAGAAAGCGUAAUAGCUCACUGGUCGAGUCCUUCUGCGCGGAAGAUGUAACGGGGCUAAGCUGUUAACCGAAGCCGCGGAUGCACUGAUUAUUCAGUGCGUGGUAGGGGAGCGUUCUGUAAGUCUGCGAAGGCGGUUCGAGAGGACUGCUGGAGAUAUCAGAAGUGCGAAUGCUGACAUGAGUAACGUUAAAGCAGGUGAAAAGCCUGCUCGCCGUAAGCCCAAGGAUUCCUGCUCUACGUUCAUCGGAGCAGGGUGAGUCGGCCCCUAAGGUGAGGCUGAGAAGCGUAACUGAUGGGAACAAGGUUAAUAUUCCUUGACCACCGCUGAAUGCGAAGGGGGGACGGAGUAUUGAAGAUCAUCCGGGUGUUGGAUAUCCCGGUUUGCGAGCGUAGGAGGCUGACAGGCAAAUCCGUCAGCGAAUCUCCGAGGCAAAGCAUCGAGCUCUCUUUUGAGCGAAGUGAUUGGAUGUGCUUCCAGGAAAAGCCUCUAAGCUCCAGUUCAGCGGGACCGUACCGCAAACCGACACUGGUGGGCGAGCUGAAUAUGCUCAGGCGCUUGAGAGAACUCGGGAGAAGGAACUCGGCAAAUUGACACCGUAACUUCGGAAGAAGGUGUGCCGUAGUACCGUGAGAGGAGAGACACCUUGAGCGGGAAUCGGUCUCAGAGAAUAGGUGGCUGCGACUGUUUAUUAAAAACACAGCACUCUGCAAAGUCGAAAGACGACGUAUAGGGUGUGAUGCCUGCCCGGUGCUGGAAGAUUAAUUGAUGGGGUGAGAGCCCUUGAUCGAAGUCCCAGUAAACGGCGGCCGUAACUAUAACGGUCCUAAGGUAGCGAAAUUCCUUGUCGGGUAAGUUCCGACCUGCACGAAUGGCAUAACGAUGGCCACACUGUCUCCUCCCGAGACUCAGUGAAGUUGAAAUGUUUGUGAUGAUGCAAUCUACCCGCGGCUAGACGGAAAGACCCCAUGAACCUUUACUGCAGCUUUGCAUUGAACUGUGAACCGAUUUGUGUAGGAUAGGUGGGAGGCAGAGAAGAGGCCACGCCAGUGGUCUUGGAGCCGACCUUGAAAUACCACCCUGAUUUGUUUGCGGUUCUAACCACGGACAGUGAUCCUGUCUUGGGACCGUGCAUGGUAGGCAGUUUGACUGGGGCGGUCUCCUCCUAAAGGGUAACGGAGGAGUGCGAAGGUACGCUAGGUACGGUCGGAAAUCGUGCUGAUAGUGCAAUGGCAAAAGCGUGCUUGACUGCGAGAGCAACAACUCGAGCAGAUGCGAAAGCAGGUCAUAGUGAUCCGGUGGCUCUGAAUGGAAGGGCCAUCGCUCAACGGAUAAAAGGUACUCUGGGGAUAACAGGCUGAUACCGCCCAAGAGUUCAUAUCGACGGCGGUGUUUGGCACCUCGAUGUCGGCUCAUC
rnacentral:rRNA from 1 species